AAGCCGUUAAAGGGAAAUCGCCAUAGCGAUAAACGAAGGAUGGCGGCCAAACCACCGGCCGCAAAGCGCCUGAGGAGCGGCGCUGCCUCCGCUUCCAGGGACAUUUCAAGCAUCGGCGCUCCCACGUGACAGCUCCUAAUAAUUUUUUUUAAUUUUGAUCAGGCUUCUCUGCGGGCUGCCGGGCGCUGAGGCCCGCAGAGGGAACGCCGCGCGGGGGCUGCCGGGAGUUGUAGUUCCGAGCCGGACGGGAUCGAAGCGCUCGUCUCCGGGCGCCAUUUUGCGGGCCCCCUGAGGGGUCCGUGAGGGGCAGCGGGGCUCGGCUUCACCCCGUGCUCGUGGGGGCGCCCGAGGUGUGUCAGCGUACAUUUAUUUCCAUCGUAGGAGCAGGGGCCGAGCAGGGAGUGCUCCUGGGAAACGCACAGGGAAUACAGGCCAGGUAGCAUCUGGGACAGAAGAGAGGAGCCUCCGCUUGCACGGGACCGGGCGAAGAACACACCAGUUGUUGCCAAACAUGAGGCGUUUUGUGCAUAACCGGGCCCAAAUCCGCCCAUCUGCAGCUUUGGUCUUCACACUGAGGCAGGAAAACCUUCCUUGCGCCUCACUCCUGCCAAAAACACCCUGAGGAUCGGGGUUCUCCGUGCCGGGGAGCGGGGUGGAGCGGCACGGCCCGGCCCAGGGAGCCCUGCGAGGUGCAGACACAAUUUCCUGUUUAAUUUCCUGACUGUUUCUUACUUGGUAAAGGAAAAGCUGUAAAUUGCAAGAUUGCUUCAGAGACCUUCCUCUGACUUCAGAUGAACUGUUAACCACUUGCAGGAGAGAAUCCAGCAAACCAGCACAAAACUUGUAAAAAAACCCUCAUUUUCUUUUAUAUCUUCUGCGAUGCACGCCGAGAGGAAAGCUGCGCAAAAAAUAAAGGUUGGAAACAUUUUCCUUGGAAAAUCAAACAGGAGCAACUCCACCUCCAGCUGAGCAGGGAUGGACACAUUUGGAAUCCCAGAGGUAGCUACUUACAGCUGUUUGAGCCCAGAUGCUCCAGUGAGGUCGGCUUGCAAGGAAUUCUGAGCUUUAGCUUGAAGAAAAUGGUCACAACAGCUGCAAUUUAUUUAUAAUUGUGCAGAUUAAUCAGUCUAGAGACUGUCUAGAGACUGCUGCAAUCUUGUCCUUCGAGUUUCCGCUCGGCCAGGUGCUGCUGCUGGUGCUCUGGUCAAGUUUUGGAACUCUGCUGGCUGUUCUUCCUGCUGAUGCUAAGCCCAAACCAUUUACAUGGAGCAAUCCUGGUGGUGAAUGAAUU